rnacentral:lncRNA from 1 species
AUGCAGGAGAUUCAGAGCCACCUCUGUCCCCUCCUGGCUGUGACCCCUUGGGCUGGGAUUUGGGGGAGCAGUGCCCAGCUGGGUGCUGUCCCACCCCGAGGGAGCCGGGGCACCUCUGCGGUCCCACGGCGUGUCCCCACCCCGCUGUCACCGUGCCCCGUCUGUGCCUGCUGCCUGCCAGGGGUACAAUGGGAGGGGACGGCCCCCACCGAGCAGGUACCAAGGGCCCCAGCCCCAGCGUGUCCCAGGCUGUGGGGACAGGAGAUGGGACAGCAGUGUCCCCAAUACGUGGAGACACCCGGGGACCCUCUGGGCUGCUGGGGGGCUGCACUGACACCCACCUUUGCUGCUGCAGGGCUCUUGUUUCCAGGAGCUGCUGGAAAACCUCCCAAGCCAGGUUUUGGUGUUGGGGGGCUGCCAGGUGAGUGCCGGGGCCGGGGGCCAGGGUGGGACCCUGUCACCGACCGCACUGCCCCGCUUGUUGUCCCCACCCCGCCGGGCACGCCACAGGCUCGCGGGGUGCUCUGUAGCGGGGUGGGCACCCAGGGGUGCUGCUGGGCUCGGGGGCUCUUGGGGCAGCUCACGCCCAGCUUGCUGCAGGCUUGGGGACACUGCGGCCACGCAGGGCUGGGGUGGCAGCGCUGUCACCGGCUGUCACUUUUUCCCCAGGGCCUGGAGUUCCCGGCUUUGGCGUGUCACCGAUAUUUCCAGGUACCUUCCCCUGCGUGCCCUGCCCGGGGGGACACACGCAGCCGCAGGGCACAAGGACACGGCCACGGGGAGUGGGGCUGGGCUGGGCUGGGGGGCACGGGGCCGAGCAUCACUGAGGCUUUGCUGUGCUUUCAGGUGGGGUCGGCGGCCAGCUGGGAUUUGGCGGGAAGCCCCCCAAGACCUUCGGAGGAGCCCUCGGGGCCCUGGGCUUUAGAGGUGGAGUCGGCUGCGCACAAGGGAAAUACUGCGGGAGGAAGCGGAAGUAACCGCCCGCCCCACCGAUAACCUCAUGAACUUUGGUGCUACUGCAUGGUCCAGAAUGUAAAUCCCCAGCCCAGCUGAGACCCCCCUGGCCCCCCGGCCCCACGCUCCCGGGAGGGACCCCACGGUGCGGCAGCAGCGCCGGGGCCUGCCCCCACCCCGGGAAUUCUCCCCCCCGACCCCCCCAGGGAGCGCGGAAUAAACUGCGGGGAGCAGCUGUCCCCCUUGGUGCU